UACGUAGGGUGCAGGCGUUAAUCGGAAUUACUGGGCGUAAAGCGUGCGCAGGCGGUUGUGCAAGACAGAUGUGAAAUCCCCGGCUCAACCUGGGAAUUGCAUUUGUGACUGCACGGCUAGAGUGUGUCAGAGGGGGGUAGAAUUCCACGUGUAGCAGUGAAAUGCGUAGAGAUGUGGAGGAAUACCGAUGGCGAAGCAGCCCCCUGGGAUAACACUGACGCUCAUGCACGAAAGCGUGGGGAGCAA
rnacentral:rRNA from 1 species